UUUUGUUUUCACUUUAAUUUAUUCUUUGUAAAGUGACGUCAUACAGACAAACCACAGAAGCUUUAGACAUAGUGUUGACCAGUUUUAACAGCAAGUAACUGUUUCACAGCGAAUAACAUUUACACGGACUCCUCAUCUCGUUAUACAAAGGCAUUAUGAACACACACAGUUCUAAUUCCUUAUAAACCUAUUUGUCAAGCAGCAAGAUGUCAACAUACCAUAGCAUAGCACAGACCGUUUCCUUCAAGAAACCAGAGCAGCAGUAUUUGGUGAAUGGUUAUGCACAGAACUUAAAGGGUAAUAAACGCUGGUCAUGAAGCAAGUGACACAUGUACAUUAAUAAGUGAAAAAUGUUAAUUUUUAUUAAUAUAAGAUAAAAUGUUACUCUUUACGCUUUAAGUUAAAACUAUAGAAUACUUUAAAAGCAGACAAUACAAGGUGCUUUCAUUUUAGACUCCAUAUCAAAAUACUACUCCAUUAAUUGCUUAAGAAUCCAUAACCUCUGAGUACUGCUCAUUGGCUUUUUAAAGUCAACCUGAAAUAGAAAAGCACUUCAAGUUUACCAGUCAAAAGCUAACGUUACACUGGUUACAUGUUACAUUAAAACACAGCUUUUAAGAAAAACUGAAUUUAAACAUACUGCAGCAUGGAACUCUAAAAAGUAAAAAUGCACUACUUUCAAAUCUUUCCACACAUUUUGGUUUAAAAUGCCCUAUUUGGUGAAACCAUUACUUACUAUAUUCCCAACUUUCAGUCAAAAUGACAGGUUGAAGUUGUUUUUAAAUCUGAUAACAUUAAAGAAAUAGGUCAGCAUGUAAACUGGCUAUCCACCACAAAACAUCACUACAGAGACCCACUGGAUGAAUGUAAAUCUUAAAAACUUUAUUUAACAGCGUCACACAAAUAUUUAGUGUCUUUUGGCCUUGAAAUCGGAGCAAUGCUACCAAUAAAUCUGAUACACGCAAUUUUCACAGAAGUUUCAGAAGCAAAAGAAGAAAAACGAUUUGUAAGUGGUUGGCUGGACAGAAAUGAAAGCACCCACCAGAGUCCCCUCGUUUUAGAAUUCAGACAAGACUAAUACCUGUUUUUUUUUUUUCAUGCUCUGAACCCUCCAAGCUUCAAAAUCAACCACAGACUACUAAGAAACUGAAAAUGCACUUAUGAUGAGCUCAGUAAGUUCAGCUACAAAAACACUAAAACAGGAAAAGCAAAAACGCUGUAUCACACAGGUAACUCUGUGGUAACGAUUUCUUUUGCCUCUCUCAGUGGCCUUAGAAGUAUGUACUAUGGUGAGUCUAUUAGGAAAAGAGGUGCACAGGGGGAAAAAAUGUUUCAAACAAAGAAAUUAGUUUGUAGAAUUCUCAUAUUGGCAGCAGCAACUUCUUUUUACUUUCCUAAGAGUUAAAACAUGGCAGAGUGUGAGCUAUUAAUAUGCUUUGGGCAUAUUUCCCAAGCAAGCUAAGCAGAAUAUUUCUUAAAAUUCUAUUUUUAAAGACAUCCAUAAAAGCAUAAAUAUUAAUAAAUAAUACCAACAUGUAUAUCUUUUCAUGGAUUAAUUUGUGGAUGACC
ensembl:lncRNA